GUGGGGAAUAUUGCACAAUGGGGGAAACCCUGAUGCAGCGACGCCGCGUGAAGGAAGAAGUAUCUCGGUAUGUAAACUUCUAUCAGCAGGGAAGAAAAUGACGGUACCUGACUAAGAAGCCCCGGCUAACUACGUGCCAGCAGCCGCGGUAAUACGUAGGGGGCAAGCGUUAUCCGGAUUUACUGGGUGUAAAGGGAGCGUAGACGGAAGAGCAAGUCUGAUGUGAAAGGCUGGGGCUUAACCCCAGGACUGCAUUGGAAACUGUUUUUCUAGAGUGCCGGAGAGGUAAGCGGAAUUCCUAGUGUAGCGGUGAAAUGCGUAGAUAUUAGGAGGAACACCAGUGGCGAAGGCGGCUUACUGGACGGUAACUGACGUUGAGGCUCGAAAGCGUGGGGAGCAAACAGGAUUAGAAACCCUAGUAGUCC
rnacentral:rRNA from 1 species